UUCCGCAAAGUUAAUUUCAGUCCGCAUCAAUCUUUCGCCUUUUACUAAAGAUUGCCGUGGAAUUGACUUACUAAAAUGCGGCUUCAACCAAAUUUAUGUGUCCCUCCUUGUGAGGGGA
rnacentral:snRNA from 1 species